UUAAAAUACAAACAGACUUAAAUUUUUUUAUCUGUUGAGUUUUCUACUAGACUUAAAUUAAUAUUUUAAGCCUUUCCGAGUGAAACAAGAUCUUAAUAUUAUAUAUGUUAGAUCCAUGUUUAAGCUAAAAGACAAUUGUUUCUUCACAAAACACAUAACACUUAUUUCUCCACUUUCUCCCAUCAUGAGAAAUUUUUUCUCUCUCCAUUCUUGCUCAGUCCUGCGUGCGCCUUUGACACUGCUCACACCCUCCACCUUCAUUUUUGCGUGGAGAUAUCUCUGCCUUUGCAUCCAUAUCUGAUGGGAAGUGUUGUCCGCUGCUCGCGCCCUCCAUCUUCAUCUUCGGGUAGGCAUGUCAUAGUCGCUGCCUCGUAGGUUGUGUCUCCUCACCUGCUCCCGCGUUGCUACCGUUGUUGCCUCUUGCGUUGUUCCUAUCGCCAUUGCAUCUCGCGUUGCCACUGCCUCUCGCUUUGCUCCUACCGCCAUUGCUUCUCGCGUUGCUCCUACCGCCAUUGCCUCUCGCAUUGCUCCUACCGCCAUUGCCUCUAACGUUGUAGUUGACGCCCCUAUCUAUCGUGUUGUCGUUGUCGCCGCCGCCUCUCGCGCUACCUCCCCUGCCUAUCAUGUUGUCAUUGUUGUACAAGUGAAAAAAUUGGUUUUGGUUUGUAAGGAUUAAGAAUUAGGAUCUUUGUUUUCUUUUUAGGGUUUUACAUUUUAAUCUUUCUCUUAUAGUAAUUUUUAGGGUUAAGAACUUUGUACGAUUUUAAGAUUUUUUUGGAGUGAUUAUUAAUGGCUCCAAUUUCUCUUCCC
rnacentral:lncRNA from 1 species